rnacentral:rRNA from 1 species
CCUACGGGCGGCAGCAGUGAGGAAUAUUGGUCAAUGGGCGCGAGCCUGAACCAGCCAAGUCGCGUGAGGGAGGACGGCCCUACGGGUUGUAAACCUCUUUUGCCGGGGAGCAACGGGCGCCACGUGUGGCUUCACUGAGAGUACCCGGAGAAAAAGCAUCGGCUAACUCCGUACCAGCAGCCGCGGUAAUACGGGGGAUGCGAGCGUUAUCCGGAUUUAUUGGGUUUAAAGGUUGCGUAGGCGGAGCGUUAAGUCAGUGGUAAAAUUGAGGGGCUAAAUCCCUUACCGCCAUUGAAACUGGCGUUCUAGAGUGUAAGUGCGGUAUGCGGAAUGCGUGGUGUAGCGGUGAAAUGCAUAGAGAUCACGCAGAACCCCGAUUGCGAAGGCAGCAUGCCGGCUUCCGACUGACGCUGAAGCACGAAAGCGUGGGGAUCGAACAGGAUUAGAUACCCGAGUAGUC